UACGAAGGGGGCUAGCGUUGUUCGGAAUUACUGGGCGUAAAGCGCGCGUAGGCGGUGAUCUUUGUCAGAGGUGAAAGCCCGGGGCUCAACUCCGGAAUUGCCUUUGAAACGGGAUUGCUAGAGUCCGAGAGAGGAUGGCGGAAUUCCUAGUGUAGAGGUGAAAUUCGUAGAUAUUAGGAAGAACACCGGAUGGCGAAGGGCGGCCAAUCUGGCUCGGUACUGACGCUCAGGCGCGAAAGCGUGGGAGCAAC
rnacentral:rRNA from 1 species